AUUGAACGCUGGCGGCAGGCCUAACACAUGCAAGUCGAACGAGUGGCGGACGGGUGAGUAAUGUCUGGGACACUGCCUGAUGGAGGGGGAUAACUACUGGAAACGGUAGCUAAUACCGCAUACCAUCGGAUGUGCCCAGAUGGGAUUAGCUAGUAGGUGGGGUAAAGGCUUACCUAGGCGACGAUCCCUAGCUGGUCUGAGAGGAUGACAAGCCACACGGGAACUGAGACACGGGCCAGACUCCUACGGGAGGCAGCAGUGGGGAAUAUUGCACAAUGGGCGAAAGCUUGAUGAAGCCAUGCCGAGUGUAUGAAGAGGGCCUUCGGGUUGUAAAGUACUUUCAGCGGGGAGGCGUUACCCGAAGAAGAAGCACCGGCUAACUCCGUGCCAGCAGCCGCGGUAAUAC
rnacentral:rRNA from 1 species